CUCCUCCGGCGGCAGGUCGGUCUGCCGGUUGCCCAGCACGAAGGCGAGGAAGGAGAGGAUGAGUGCGUUGAGGAUGCCGAUGAUGGCCAGGAUGUAGGCCCAGCGCACCGAACAGUCCCCGAGCACGGCUGAGCCUAAGCAGUGUGAAUUCAGAGCUGCUCAGCGUCUACCUGUCACCCGCACAACAGACAUGAACUUGGAGUGAGUCGUGCAGAGGAACCAGGAAGCAGAAAGGGAAGAAAUCUUCCUGGCCUUAUUGGCUCAGUGCUCUGCACUGAGAAGAGUUUCAACAACUCGGAUAAGGGUUUGCGGGAGUCAGGGUCAUCUGAUGGGCAUCGAAGGGCUAUCAAAACUGAUCCAACUGCCUCUAUCCCUCCACAGUACAGACAAGAAAACAGACCUCAGGGACACUGCCUGGCAAGUCACAGGCAGAGCUGGACGAAAUGCCCAAGCCAUGACUCAUCGUCCAGUGCUCUAAGUGUGUGUCAAGCAAAGUAAGCCAGUCACUUUCCCAGGGAACCCACAAAUCCAUGGGCAAAGAGGAAUCAAUGGCUCAACUACUGCCCUCAGGGAUGCGGCAGUAACACCAAAGAAAAUGCCCUGGGUUGAGUACUGAGCUUUAGGCAUCCUCCCUUGCUGGUCACUGUGUCACCUUUCUGACAGGGGAGUCGAGUGGAAGACAUUAAGGAACAGACCACUGAGGUGCUUGAAAGUCUACAAGUACAUGGCAGUUGUGGAACAGUUACAUAAAUCCACAGGAUGAAAUCCACAUGGAUUACACAGAAUUUGAAGGCCAAAAGGGACAGUUCCUCAUCUGGCCGCCCACCUUACUGUCUACCCUUCGUCCUGAACGACUUCUCAUCAUUUGCAGAAAUCACAUCCCUCCUUUAAGAGAUGGGGGUCUCUUCUCAAAGACCAUGUGCCAGGAAACACACCCCCUGCUCCAAAGCCAAUUCCCUACAGUGCACAAAGCAGCAGCAUUAUCAGCAA